AUUUUUUAAAGGGCCGCGGUACUCUGACCGUGCAAAGGUAGCAUAAUAGUUAGGUUUUUAAUUGAGAUCUUGUAUGAAUGGUUUGACAAGGAAAAGUCUGUCUUUGUAUUCAUUUAUUGAAUUUAACUUUUAAGUGAAAAGGCUUAAAUGAGUUAGGGGGACGAUAAGACCCUAUAAAACAUUAUGUUGGGGCGACAAAGAUAAAAAUUGAUAACUGUUUAAAGUUCAGACAACCAUGUUUGUAAUGAUCCUGUUUAAAGAUUAAAAGUUUAAGUUACUUUAGGGAUAACAGCGUUAUUUUUUUUGAGAGUUCUUAUCGAAAAAAGAGUUUGCGACCUCGAUGUUGAAUUAAAAUUUCUAUACAAUUGUAGAAGUUGUAUAAGAGGGUCUGUUCGACCUUUAAAUUUUU
rnacentral:rRNA from 1 species